GGAGAUAUAGCUCAGUAGGUAGAGUGCUUGUCUUGCAUGCACAAAACCCUGGGUUCGAUCCUCAGUACCA
rfam:Ictidomys tridecemlineatus contig043641, whole genome shotgun sequence.